UUAUUUGUAUGUAUCAGUGUGAUAAAUGAGGGGGAAGGGGGUAGCUCCCUUUUAUGGACACCCAGCCAGCCAGUUAGCUAUAAAAUUCCUCUUAGUAGCUGUUCUCUACUUGCUUUACACAGUAA